rnacentral:rRNA from 1 species
GACGAACGCUGGCGGCGUGCUUAACACAUGCAAGUCGAACGGAAAGGCCCUGCUUUGGUGGGGUGCUCGGGUGGCGAAGGGGUGAGUAACACGUGAGUAACCUGCCCUUGACUGUGGGAUAACUUCAUGAAACUGGGGCUAAUAGCGGAUAGGAGCUCCUGCUGCAUGGUGGGGGUUGGAAAGUUUAGGCGGUUGGGGGUGGACUCGCGGCUUAUCAGAUUGUUGGAUGGGUAGUGGCUUACCAAGGCUUUGACGGGUAGCCGGCCUGAGCGGGUGAGAGGCCAAAUUGGGACGGAGAUACGGCCCAGACUCCUCCGGUAGGCAGCAGUGCAGAAUAUUGCACAAGGGGCGGAAGCCUGAUGCAGCAACGCCGCGUGCGGGAUGACGGCCUUCGGGUUGUAAACCGCUUUCGCCUGUGACGAAGCGUGAGUGACGGUAAUGGGUAAAGAAGCACCGGCUAACUACGUG